rnacentral:lncRNA from 1 species
CUUUGUUCUGCAGGACAAAGACAUUCAUACAGGUUUGAAACUACUUGAGGGUGAGUAAAUGAUGACAGAAUUUUCAUUUUUGGGUGAACUAUCCCUUUAGCUGUAGAGGCGGAUGGCCGGAGUGUUGCCCCGCCCACAAGCUAUAUGUACCCCGCCCACUUUAAAAGUGAGCUAAGGGGUAUUUUACAUUGUUUUGUUUGAGCCUCAUCCACAAUUUUGCUCUCUUUAUUCUGGGCGACUCGUGAUGAUCACGGGAGGAAACACAAACAGGCGCUGAAACAUGUGGACGGAGGAGGGAGACAACAACAGCUCUGUUCAUGAAGAACCACAGGAGCACAAUCUCACACAGAUAGUUUCCCCAGUGUCUUCAUGGCUCCGCUCCAACUCCGAUAGAAAUGGCUCAGCAGCUACCAGUCCACCCCCUCUUGCUGAGACCCCCAUGAACAGAGAGAGUGGAAUCAUACCAGGUGCGAUUGCCGCAGCAGUGUUCAUAGGCUUUCUGUUAGCCCUCUAUGCUGUUCUUUGGAAAUGCAUGGUUACGCAACCAAAAAGGAGGAAAAAGAGAGUGAGUUUGAAGUCUCGUGAACAGGUCUCUUACAUGCUGACCUCUGGACGGGACGUUACUGAUGUCAGGACAGACUAGAGCUUCUCUUGCUUUGUAUAAGAACCCUUAUGAAAUGUGUUUAGGUCUUAACGCACAGUUUGAGACAUUAUUUCAUGCAUGAUGGAACUAGAUGCUUCAGUUCUACUACAUGGUCAUUAACAGAUCAAUAUCUGCUGUGUUUCAUAAGUCACCCAUCAGGUUCUGGAUUGGUCCGUUUGACAGUCAGACCGGAGAGUUCCAUUUUAGAAAAUGGUUCUAAAAAUGUAAAAUGUAGUCAUUAAACUGAAUAAUUUCUUGUAUUUUGUGUGUAUAUAUAGAGUAUAGCAAGCCCAAAUCUGCUCUCGAGGUAUGUAUGAAUAGUUUACUUUGUGACAGCACCACAAAUGUCCACUAGAUGGCAGAGGGCUCAAUGUUUUUUUUUUCUUGAUGGAACAAGAAAAUCAGCCAAGAUACACAGUAGAGUCUUUCAGUCUUUAGAGGUUUAUCUUUAUAGACUUAUGUGUUUGGGACGUUCAUUUUAUUGCUGAUAGCUAUGCUAAUUAAUACAUAAAAGAUAUAAUACAUUUUAAGAGACUAGGCCCUUGUUUUUCCCCAAACAUCCCCUUUGACCGUCGUGAACUCUGCACCAGUGAAUGAGUGCAUGUGUGUGAGUGAGAGAGAUUUCCCUUAUGCAGCAAGUAUUGACCAGAGAGCAGCAGAUUUCUAGGUUAAAGUCUUUGUGUUCAUGCGUGUUUGUGUGUGUGUGUGUGUGUGUGUGAACAUAAGAAGUGCACAUUUUUAUUGCAGGUGCUUUGUUUGCACAAUUUAUGCACUUUUAUAUUUUUUGUUUUUCCUGCGUGUCAUUAAUUUCAGUGGUUUUCAUUAAGAUUUGAUUUUGGAUUAGAAUGUGUUCAAUUCCUUUUAGUCUACGCUGUGUAAGUUAGACUCCGUUGUGUGCCUGUAUUAAACUUGUUUUUCACUGCACAAAUGUUUAAUAUAGAAUGUUAUGAAUGACACGUGCCAAUAAAUGUGAGCUUCGAUUUACUGUAAGAUGUAUUUGAAUACUUGCUAGAUAAUUGAAUAUUCAAA